AGUGAACGCUGGCGGUAGGCCUAACACAUGCAAGUCGAACGGCAGCACAGUAAGAGCUUGCUCUUACGGGUGGCGAGUGGCGGACGGGUGAGGAAUACAUCGGAAUCUACUUUUUCGUGGGGGAUAACGUAGGGAAACUUACGCUAAUACCGCAUACGACCUACGGGUGAAAGCAGGGGAUCUUCGGACCUUGCGCGAUUGAAUGAGCCGAUGUCGGAUUAGCUAGUUGGCGGGGUAAAGGCCCACCAAGGCGACGAUCCGUAGCUGGUCUGAGAGGAUGAUCGGCCACACUGGAACUGAGACACGGUCCAGACUCCUACGGGAGGCAGCAGUGGGGAAUAUUGGACAAUAGGCGCAAGCCUGAUCCAGCCAUACCGCGUGGGUGAAGGAGGCCUUCGGGUUGUAAAGCCCUUUUGUUGGGAAAGAAAAGCAGCAGGUUAAUACCCCGCUGUUCUGACGGUACCCGAAGAAUAAGCACCGGCUAACUUCGUG
rnacentral:rRNA from 1 species